AAAAAAAAAGAAAUUAGUGUAAUUCAUUGAUAAUGGCAGAGAAUGUGGUAUAAAAGGGGAUAAGAUUAUUAUGUGCAAUCUUGCAUCUGAUUUUAUAUAUUUGUGCUACACAGUAGGUCGUCGUGCAGAAACAAAUGAGUCUUUAGAAAAAAAAUUGCAUCCGAAAUAUAUGUAUAUAAAUUGAACUUUUAUACUUUUAAAGAUAUCAAGUCAUUUUAGGUUUUCGGCUUUUAGAUUAAAGAUUUAUAGAGUUAGAAUAAUAGUGCUCUCCUAAAAUUGAGUGGGUGACUUAUAAGCACCAAGUGUUAUGAGGGCUUUUAAAAGUCAUCAUAUUGGGGGGUCUGUUUUACAUAGUGUUUGGACUUACAGUCCAUCCUACAUAAAUAAGUAAGACUGUUCGGCAAAACCGAUCGUCUCUAACGUAAGUGGUAAAGAGUUUGGUGAUUGGUACCUGAGGUUCUAAGUUUGAAUUCUAGUUGAUUCACAUUUCUAGCUAAGUUUUUAUUUUUUAAAAAAUAAACAAAGCAGGUAGCAUGCUACCUUUCUCUCUCUAAAAAAAAAAAAAAA
rnacentral:lncRNA from 1 species